AGUACUUGCUGUAAUCGGCCCCGUUACGGUCUUGUAUGGGAGGGCUGAAGGAUAUCUACCUUGCUUGAAUUUCAAAGACCCUGCCUUGGGACCAUCUGAUAGUUUAUGAUGUCCCUCUAUCUGUUGUAAAAGCAAUGGCUGAACCAACUCAUUCUUCUGAAGGAGCAGAGAUACCAAAGGAAAAAAGCAGGAUCUGUGCUGUCGUUUGUGGUGCUGCUGGUAGGAGAUGAAUUCAGGAAGUGCAGCUGUUACAGCACCUGGAGUUGGAGACUAUGCAACUAGAAGCCUUUCUGGAGUGGAAGCAACUGGAAGCGGUUUAUUGGCAGUGGAUGGAAACCGUGUUAGAUAACAUGGCUGAAGAGGGAAGCCUGCGCACGGUGCGGGACGCUCCCGUGGAGACCAGCAGGCUGCAGGAGGGGGCCACGUGCUGCCCCUGGGCUGAAAGCAUGACUGUGCAAAUCGACAGGUUGUCUGGGGAGAUGACAGCUCUCCACAGCCAGCUGCAGGAGCUGGUAGCACGCCGAAGGUCUGCCUGGUGUCAGAAGUCUUCUCCAGGCACUUGCUGUCAGUCACAGUCAGAUGGGGUGCUGGUCAUGCAGGUCUCUGGUGUGGUCUGACUUAGAUUUGCUUUUAUGGCAAAACGGAGAUGAAUGUUGC
rnacentral:lncRNA from 1 species